UGAAAAGUGGUGUACGGUGCACAGUAUGAUUUUGACUCUUAUAGAAGAGGUUCAACUCCUUUCUUUUCAA
rnacentral:tRNA from 1 species